rnacentral:ncRNA from 1 species
UAUUUAACGAAGAUCGAAUGAGUAAUCAGUGGAGUUAGCCCAGAGAGCUGUCGCGUCGGUGAAAGAUAGCCUAACGAGAUUGAUGAAUAUGGUUCGUGAGUUGCAGUAGCCGAGCACUUGUAAGGCUACGAUGUUGGGCACAUUAUCGUCUACAGUUUGAAAACUGACUGAGAAAGCAUGCGUGAGUGUGCUUUGAAAUAGGGUGGUACCGCGAUACGUUCGCCCCUAUG